rnacentral:rRNA from 1 species
CCUACGGGAGGCAGCAGUGGGGAAUAUUGCACAAUGAGGGAAACCCUGAUGGAGCGACGCCGCGUGCACGAAGAAGUUAUUCGUAAUGUAAAGCUCUAUCAGCAGGGAAGAACAUGACGGUACCUGAGUAAGUAGCCCCGGCUAACUCCGUGACAGCAGCCGAGGUAAUACGUCGGGGGGAAGCGUUAUCCGGGUGUUCGGGGUGUAAAGGUAGCGUAGACGGCAUUGCAAAGCUGGAGUGAAAGGCGCGGGCUCAAACCCCGGACUACUCGGGAUACUAUACAGCUGGAGUUCAGGAGAGGUAAGUGGAAUUCCUUGUGUAGCGGUGAAAUGCGUAGAUAUUAGGAGGAACACCAGGGGCGAAGGCGGCUUACUGGACUGUAACUGACGUUGAGGCUCGAAAGCGUGGGGAGCAAACAGGAUUAGAUACCCUAGUAGUC